rnacentral:rRNA from 1 species
AGAGUUUGAUCUUGGCUCUGAAUGAACCCUAGCAAUCUGCUUUAUACAUGCAAGUUAUGUAUUUUUUGUAUAGUUAUUUUCGAUAUCUAGUAUUCAAAAAAUACGGCGUACGAGUGAGUAAACAAUGCGAAGCUAUCCAUAAUUGACGGUUACUCCGAUUUUACUAAAAAAGGGUUAUGGAGGCGCGUGUUGAGGAUUAGGUAUGUUGGUGGGAUAAUAGCUUACCAAACCGAAGAUCCUUAGUCAUCCUGAGAGGGAGAAUGGCCACGCCGGAACUGAAACAAGGUCCGGGCUUAUUUAAGCCAGCAGUAGGGAAUAUUGGACAAUGAGCGAAAGCUUGAUCCAGCAAGAUUGCGUGAGGGAAGAAGGUCAUUUGACCGUAAACCUCUUUCACCGAGGAAGAAUUAAGACGGUACUCGGAAAAGAAGCUCCAGCCAAUCUCGUGCCAGCAGCUGCGGUAAUACGGGAGGAGCGAGGGUUAUUCAUGAUGAUUGGGUGUAAAGCAGGAUAAGGUGAUAAGUACAAGUUUCAAGUCGACCGAAAGCUUCACUUAAGGGAGGAUUUGAAAAACUAACUUACUCGAGGAAUUACAGAGUUGAAAGCGGAACUAUUGGGGUAGAGGUGUAAUUCGUUUCAUCUCAAUGGGAACACCGAAAGCGAAAAGCAGCCAACUAGUAAUUACCUGCCACUAGACCUGGAAUCUGAGGUAGCAAACCGGAUUAGAUACCCGGGUAGUCUCAGACGUAAACGAUGGACGCUCGUGAGAGCUAACUGCUCUCACUCAGCUAACGCGUAAGCGUCCCACCUAGUGAGUACACCCGCAAGGGUGAAAACUAAAUAGAAUAGGCGGCUUUACAAACGACCAGAGGAGCAUGCAACUUAAUUUGAUAUUACGCGACAAACCUUACCUAGGCUUGUAUUUUCAUUGAUAUGAAGAACAAAAAUCUCAUAGCGGUACUGCCCCUAAGGGGGCGUAUCUAUAGAUGAAAACACGUUUUGCAUGAUCGUAUUCAGCUCGAUGUUGUGAAAUGUUAGGUUAAGUCCUUUAACGAGCGCAACCCAUGUCUUUAGUUGGAAAAGAUGAUUUAGAUGAAUUAAUCUUUGAUCGAAUAGCUUUAGCUACUCAAAGUUGACAAAAUGGGUACUAGGGUUAGUUACUAACAUAACUAACCUCAAAAAUAUCCUAUGACAACGAACCUCUCUAGAGAAACUGCCGUGGAAAAAGCGGAGGAAGGAAUGGACGACUACAGAUCACCAUGAACGUUAUGCUUAGGGCUGUAAGCGUGCUACAAUCGGAUUGACAAAGGGAAGCAAUGAGGAAACUCUGCGCGAAUC